ensembl:lncRNA
GGGAAAAAGAACGGAGCAGCGGCAACGAUCUAAGGAGGAAAACUUACUUUACUAACUAUGGUAUCAGAAUGCAAGACAAUGCAAUAUAAUACAAUCCAAUUGAAAGUAAGGGUAAUAAAUCAAAUAAGAGAGAGAAAGUUUCUGAAACUGAAAGGCCUACUUGAAUGAAGGCGCACGGCUUGGAAGCACACCCACCCCUCUGCCUGGCUGCCAGAGAGAGAGUGUGAGCCAGAUCCCGUGACUUCUGUGCCGUAUCUUCCUUCUCUGACCGCUGAUUGAGCGCCGGGGGAAAGGAGCCGGUCAGCCCUGGGAGCACAGGCAAACCGGUGAGUUCCUGAAGGCAAAGGCAAAGCAAGUCUUGUUCAGCGCUGCCCACCCCGCAGAGCCAGCUGCGUGGCAAGGAAGUGUUCUUAGCCCAGACACGGGAGCUCAUGCACAGGUCCUGCUGACACCAGCUGGAAGAGAAAGGCAUUCGAUG